AACGUAACAAAAUGUGGAGAAAGGGAAGGGGUCUGAAUAUUUUUUAUUUUUAUUUUUUAUAUUUUUUUUAUUUGGUUGAGUAUGGACCAUAAAAUAAUUGGAUGGUUACCUUAGCAUGUUACACUGGUUAAAGCAACACAAUACAUAUUCCAUCCAUAUUAUGCUAUCAAAAUUCAUGUUUAUUUGUCAUAUGCACAGGAUACAGUGGGGUAUAUACAGGAAUAUGAAAUUGCAUUGUACUAUUGAAGUAACAAUUAAUUUGAUGUUUUCCCACACAGUGCCAACAAUCCCCAAAGACUCCGAAUCGUCCCUCCCGACACAAGCAACCAAGCAAGAGUUUUUCCAGGAAAACCAGUGCAAAGGGCUUGUGAGAUCAGCAUCAACACUGCUGGAGUAACAGAACAAUGGAUGCCUUGGACUUCUUGCUGCAUGAAAAGACUGACCACAAAUCUCUGUUGUGAAAAAUCCACAUAAUUCACUAAUAAAAACUUUACAAGGUAUAAGUGACUGUUUUCAACAAAAAAAGAGUAAAUUACAACGACAACUGAACACAUGUAACUGAAAUAAAACACACAAACAAGGCAGGACAUAUAUAGCUAACUACCAGCUUCCAGGAAAAAAAGCCUACAUGGUGCCGCAGUGGAUCACGGGAGGCCAGUACUCGCCACACACAGCAGCUUGGAAUGACAACCAUGUUGCCAGGUCCCACACCUCCAGGUCACAAACUGUUAUGUGCUGCUCCUGAUUCCCACCUUUCACUCCCUACUAGGAGGUCAUCAGAGCCGGUAUGACCAAUGUGCAUCCUUACAGCCCUGCUACAGAGCUUAAAUGAUCAAUUGCUGACGCGUGACUUCAUUCUCAUCUUGUGAAUUUAAUUAAUGAGAAAUAGAGUUGAUUUGGUUGGUUUCUGGGGUAGCAGGUACAACAUCACAUGGACACUGCUGAUGGUGACGCAUAUAGUGCAGCUGAAGGGUUAGGAUGUUCGUCAUCGUCUAUGGCUGACUGUUUCCUCCGUCCAACAGGGCCAAGCUAUCCUGGACAUUUUAAGGUUGACAUUGGGAAAACAUGAAACAAAUUGUUACUUCAAUUGUACAUGGUACAAUGCAAUGUCAUAUUCCCGUAUACAUCAGCCUGUAUCCUAUAUGCAUAUGCCAAAUAAAUGUUGAUUUUCAUUCGAUAACAUCAUA